AAGUAAAGAGGGAAAAACUUAAACAGGAAUUGAAUUGAAAUUUUUAAAUUGUUUAGGAUUUAAAUCAUAACGUUUUAAGCUAUGGGACAGAAGUUGAUCAUACCUAAAGACUUCUUUUGUAUUUAUCCCACUAAUUUAAGGUAUGAAUGUGUCUUAUUGGAUAUACAAAAAUCCCAUCAUGCACCGUGGGUAGAAAACCAUAAACAUUGAGCUUCCACUUCAUGCAUAUGGCUUAGAAACAUAUUUUCUUACAAAAUACAAACCAUUAUAUAAUGGCAUUAUUAGAAAGACUAACACAACAAUGUAAAUUUAUAUUAAAAAAAUCCUAUUUGGGCAGUAACUCCAUAUGAUAAUGUAGUGAUUUGAAAUUUUAUAACACAACAUAGCCAAUGACAAAAAUAGUUGCUACCGUGACUAGGCACAAAUAGAGCUGAAAUGAAAAUGCAAGAAAUGGAGGUGGAAAAUGCAUAAAAAGCAAUUUCCAUCCUAUUGGUUUGCUUUGCACGUGAAUGAAUGGAAGUGAAGAUUAUAACGAUGGAAUAUAUUGCAUCCGAUAUCAUGUGCUACAAUAAAAAGUAACUAUCUACAAACCAGCAAAAGUGACAACUAAUGCAUUUAGCUCAAACCCAAUAUGCUUAAUAAAGUCAAUGUAGAUCAUGACAAUAGCAUUUUUGAUAGAUCAUAAUCGCACAGAAUCACCAAGUCAUUUAAAUCAUAAUCCAAUAACCUACCUUUCAGGGCAAGGAUUCUAGAAU
rnacentral:misc_RNA from 1 species